CUGGCUCAGGAUGAACGCUAGCUACAGGCUUAACACAUGCAAGUCGAGGGGCAGCAUGAGAUUAGCUUGCUAAUCUUGAUGGCGACCGGCGCACGGGUGCGUAACACGUAUCCAAUCUACCCAUGGCUCGGGGGAUAGCCUUUCGAAAGAAAGAUUAAUACCCGAUGGUCUGCGAUUGAGACAUCUCGAUUGCAGUAAAGACUUGUCGGCGAUGGAUGGGGAUGCGUCCGAUUAGCUAGUUGGCGGGGUAACGGCCCACCAAGGCGACGAUCGGUAGGGGUUCUGAGAGGAAGGUCCCCCACACUGGAACUGAGACACGGUCCAGACUCCUACGGGAGGCAGCAGUGAGGAAUAUUGGUCAAUGGUCGGGAGACUGAACCAGCCAAGUAGCCGUGAGGGACGACGGCCCUACGGGUUGUAAACCUCUUUUGUAUGGGAAUAAAGUGAGGCACGUGUGCCUUUUUGUAUGUACCUUACGAAUAAGCAUCGGCUAAUUCCGUGCCAGCCGCAGC
rnacentral:rRNA from 1 species